UACGUAGGGUGCGAGCGUUGUCCGGAAUUAUUGGGCGUAAAGAGCUCGUAGGCGGUGUGUCGCGUCGGUCGUGAAAACUUGGGGCUUAACCCUGAGCUUGCGGUCGAUACGGGCAUCACUGGAGUUCGGCAGGGGAGACUGGAAUUCCUGGUGUAGCGGUGAAAUGCGCAGAUAUCAGGAGGAACACCGGUGGCGAAGGCGGGUCUCUGGGCCGAUACUGACGCUGAGGAGCUAAAGCGUGGGGAGCGAACAGG
rnacentral:rRNA from 1 species